rnacentral:rRNA from 1 species
CCUUUGACGUUAGCGGCGGACGGGUGAGUAACACGUGGGUAACCUACCUAUAAGACUGGGAUAACUUCGGGAAACCGGAGCUAAUACCGGAUAAUAUUUCGAACCGCAUGGUUCGAUAGUGAAAGGUGGUUUUGCUAUCACUUAUAGAUGGACCCGCGCCGUAUUAGCUAGUUGGUAAGGUAACGGCUUACCAAGGCGACGAUACGUAGCCGACCUGAGAGGGUGAUCGGCCACACUGGAACUGAGACACGAUCCAGACUCCUACGGGAGGCAGCAGCG